GACGAACGCUGGCGGCGUGCUUAACACAUGCAAGUCGAACGAAGAGCGAUGGAAGCUUGCUUCUAUCAAUCUUAGUGGCGAACGGGUGAGUAACGCGUAAUCAACCUGCCCUUCAGAGGGGGACAACAGUUGGAAACGACUGCUAAUACCGCAUACGAUCUAAUCUCGGCAUCGAGGAUAGAUGAAAGGUGGCCUCUACAUGUAAGCUAUCACUGAAGGAGGGGAUUGCGUCUGAUUAGCUAGUUGGGGGGGUAACGGCCCACCAAGGCGAUGAUCAGUAGCCGGUCUGAGAGGAUGAACGGCCAAGUUGGGACUGGGACACGGCCCAGACUCCUACGGGAGGGAGCAGUGGGGAAUCUUCCGCAAUGGACGAAAGCCUGACGGAGCAACGCCGCGUGAGUGAUGACGGCCUUCGGGUUGUAAAGCUCUGUUAAUCGGGACGAAAGGCCUUCUUGCGAAUAGUGAGAAGGAUUGACGGUACCGGAAUAGAAAGCCACGGCUAACUACGUG
rnacentral:rRNA from 1 species